rnacentral:rRNA from 1 species
UACGUAGGGGGCUAGCGUUGUCCGGAUUUAUUGGGCGUAAAGAGCGUGUAGGCGGCCAGGUAGGUCUGCUGUGAAAACCCGGGGCUCAACUCCGGGCCUGCAGUCGAUACGGGCUGGCUUGAGUGCGGUAGGGGAGACUGGAAUUCCUGGUGUAGCGGUGAAAUGCGCAGAUAUCAGGAGGAACACCGGUGGCGAAGGCGGGUCUCUGGGCCGUAACUGACGCUGAGGAGCGAAAGCGUGGGGAGCGAACAGG